CUCAGGACGAACGCUGGCGGCGUGCCUAAUACAUGCAAGUCGAACGCUUUUUCUUUCACCGGAGCUUGCUCCACCGAAAGAAAAAGAGUGGCGAACGGGUGAGUAACACGUGGGUAACCUGCCCAUCAGAAGGGGAUAACACUUGGAAACAGGUGCUAAUACCGUAUAACACUAUUUUCCGCAUGGAAGAAAGUUGAAAGGCGCUUUUGCGUCACUGAUGGAUGGACCCGCGGUGCAUUAGCUAGUUGGUGAGGUAACGGCUCACCAAGGCAACGAUGCAUAGCCGACCUGAGAGGGUGAUCGGCCACACUGGGACUGAGACACGGCCCAGACUCCUACGGGAGGCAGCAGUAGGGAAUCUUCGGCAAUGGACGAAAGUCUGACCGAGCAACGCCGCGUGAGUGAAGAAGGUUUUCGGAUCGUAAAACUCUGUUGUUAGAGAAGAACAAGGAUGAGAGUARAACGUUCAUCCCUUGACGGUAUCUAACCAGAAAGCCACGGCUAACUACGUGCCAGCAGCCGCGGUAAUACGUAGGUGGCAAGCGUUGUCCGGAUUUAUUGGGCGUAAAGCGAGCGCAGGCGGUUUCUUAAGUCUGAUGUGAAAGCCCCCGGCUCAACCGGGGAGGGUCAUUGGAAACUGGGAGACUUGAGUGCAGAAGAGGAGAGUGGAAUUCCAUGUGUAGCGGUGAAAUGCGUAGAUAUAUGGAGGAACACCAGUGGCGAAGGCGGCUCUCUGGUCUGUAACUGACGCUGAGGCUCGAAAGCGUGGGGAGCGAACAGGAUUAGAUACCCUG
rnacentral:rRNA from 1 species